rnacentral:rRNA from 1 species
AUUGAACGCUGGCGGCAGGCCUAACACAUGCCAGUCGAGCGGAUGAAGGGAGCUUGCUCCUGGAUUCAGCGGCGGACGGGUGAGUAAUGCCUAGGAAUCUGCCUGGUAGUGGGGGAUAACGUCCGGAAACGGGCGCUAAUACCGCAUACGUCCUGAGGGAGAGAGUGGGGGAUCUUCGGACCUCACGCUAUCAGAUGAGCCUAGGUCGGAUUAGCUAGUUGGUGGGGUAAAGGCCUACCAAGGCGACGAUCCGUAACUGGUCUGAGAGGAUGAUCAGUCACACUGGAACUGAGACACGGUCCAGACUCCUACGGGAGGCAGCAGUGGGGAAUAUUGGACAAUGGGCGAAAGCCUGAUCCAGCCAUGCCGCGUGUGUGAAGAAGGUCUUCGGAUUGUAAAGCACUUUAAGUUGGGAGGAAGGGCAGUAAGUUAAUACCUUGCUGUUUUGACGUUACCAACAGGAUAAGCACCGGCUAACUUCGUG